rnacentral:misc_RNA from 1 species
AAGUCGUAACAAGGUUUCCGUAGGUGAACCUGCGGAAGGAUCAUUAAAGAGAACUUGCCCUUCGGGGUAGAUCUCCCACCCUUUGUUUAUCAUACCUUUGUUGCUUUGGCAGGCCCGUCCCCGGACCGGCCGGCUGCUGGCUGGCCCGCGCCUGUCAGAGGACCCCAAACUCAUGUUUACAUGUCGUCUGAGUACUAUAACAAAUCGUUAAAA